rnacentral:rRNA from 1 species
UGGUGGAGUGAUUUGUCUGCUUAAUUGCGAUAACGAACGAGACCUUAACCUGCUAAAUAGCCAGGCUAGCUUUGGCUGGUCGCCGGCUUCUUAGAGGGACUUUCGGCUCAAGCCGAAGGAAGUUCGAGGCAAUAACA